rnacentral:rRNA from 1 species
UAAGGAAUAUUGGACAAUGGGCGGAAGCCUGAUCCAGCCAUGCCGCGUGAAGGACGAAGGCGCUCAGCGUUGUAAACUUCUUUUGGACGGGGACAAACCGCUCGACGUGUCGGGCGCUGAGGGUACCGUCAGAAUAAGCACCGGCUAACUCCGUGCCAGCAGCCGCGGUAAUACGGAGGGUGCGAGCGUUAUCCGGAAUCACUGGGUUUAAAGGGUGCGUAGGCGGCGAUGUAAGUCAGUUGUGAAAUUC